AAUGAACGUGGGCGGCGUGGAUUAGGCAUGCAAGUCGCGCGGACCAGCAAUGGUUAGCGGCGAAAGGGAGAGUAACGCGUGGGUUGUCUGCCUCUUGGACCGGGAUAGCUGCGGGAAACUGCAGGUAAUACCGGAUGACGUCUUUGGACCAAAGGUGUGAUUCCGCCGAGAGAUGAGCCCGCGUCCUAUUAGCUAGUUGGCGAGGUAAUGGCUCACCAAGGCUUAGAUGGGUAGGGGGUGUGAGAGCACGACCCCCCUCACUGGGACUGAGACACUGCCCAGACACCUACGGGUGGCUGCAGUCGAGGAUCUUCGGCAAUGGGCGAAAGCCUGACCGAGCGACGCCGCGUGUGGGAUGAAGGCCUUCGGGUUGUAAACCACUGUCGUAGAGGAGGAAAUUCUGGGGGGUUCUCCCCUCGGUUUGACCUAUUCUAGGAGGAAGUCAGGGCUAAGUUCGUGCCAGCAGCCGCGGUAAGACGAACCUGACAAACGUUAUUCGGAAUUACUGGGCUUAAAGGGUGCGUAGGCGGCGCGACAAGUUGGGUGUGAAAUCCCUCGGCUCAACCGAGGAACUGCGCUCAAUACUGUCGUGCUCGAGGGAGACAGAGGUGAGCGGAACUUAGGGUGGAGCGGUGAAAUGCGUCGAUAUCCUAAGGAACACCGGUAGCGAAAGCGGCUCACUGGGUCUUUUCUGACGCUGAGGCACGAAAGCUAGGGUAGCGAACGGGAUUAGAUACCCCGGUAGUCCUAGCCUUAAACGAUGAGCACUUGAUUGG
rnacentral:rRNA from 1 species